AUGCUGCCUUGUCAAGGAGUAGCUACUGCGACUGCAAAUUCUCAGCUAUUUGGAUUCCCUGCUGCAAACCGCUACGGAUAUCCUGCAAGAUCACCGGUUUUUUCUAAACAAGCGUUUCUCAAGUUGCGGGCAUCGGCACUUCGUUGUGACAAGAAAAUCCCCCCUCUGAGAGCUUGUUUUGAUUUUUCCGCUCGUGCUGUAUCUUCAUCUCUCGCAAAGUAUGAUUCUGUAAUGGGCAACAAUCCCUUCAAGCCAUUGCCAUCAAUCCGCAGCUCGCACCCAAGAUCUCAAGUUAGUUGUCAGGCAUCUUUAGCAUCAUUCAGCUACCCUGAACUAUCUUCUAAACCCAAAUGGUGGUGGAGGACCCUGGCAUGUGUACCUUACCUUCUGCCACUGCACAACAUGUGGUCGCACGCGGAUGCUGUGUACCAGCUUCAUCCAUACUUGCAACAGUUUGGGCUGUUUUAUGCCUUCAUUGAUACAAUGGCACUAGUCCCUGGAUGGCUUUUCCUGAUGAUCUUCAUGACUGUCUACUUCUUUGUGGUGAGACGGAAGUGGUCGCCGCACUUUUUGCGCUAUCACAUCAUAUUGGCCAUUCUUCUUGACACGGGCUCUCAGGCUCUGGCGACCAUGUGCAACUGGAAUCCAAGCAUUGUCUUUCAGGGUAAACCAAUGGCGUAUUUCUGGAUGACACUGGCCUUCAUUCAGAUCUUCACAGUUGUCGAGUGUAUGAGGUGUGCCCUUUCAGGAAUGUAUCCUAACGUUCCAUUCAUAUCCCACACAGCGUUCAUCCAUUCUGAUCUGAACCUGUUCAGGUAA
rnacentral:rRNA from 1 species